rnacentral:rRNA from 1 species
AUUGAACGCUGGCGGCAGGCUUAACACAUGCAAGUCGAGCGGGGGAGGUUGCUUCGGUAACUGACCUAGCGGCGGACGGGUGAGUAAUGCUUAGGAAUCUGCCUAUUAGUGGGGGACAACAUCUCGAAAGGGAUGCUAAUACCGCAUACGUCCUACGGGAGAAAGCAGGGGACCUUCGGGCCUUGCGCUAAUAGAUGAGCCUAAGUCGGAUUAGCUAGUUGGUGGGGUAAAGGCCUACCAAGGCGACGAUCUGUAGCGGGUCUGAGAGGAUGAUCCGCCACACUGGGACUGGAGAACGGCCCAGACUCCUACGGGAGGCAGCAGUGGGGAAUAUUGGACAAUGGGGGGAACCCUGAUCCAGCCAUGCCGCGUGUGUGAAGAAGGCCUUUUGGUUGUAAAGCACUUUAAGCGAGGAGGAGGCUACUGGUAUUAAUACUACCGGAUAGUGGACGUUACUCGCAGAAUAAGCACCGGCUAACUCUGUGCCAGCCGCCGCCGUAACAC